AGCUUAUCUGUGAUGUUUCCAUUUAAAAAAAUGUCUGAACAUCUGAGUUCUAGUGAUUUCACAUUGUAACUGAGAUAAGCU